rnacentral:lncRNA from 1 species
UUUAAGAUGGUUAGAGAUAGAAAUGGUAUCAUACCUUUGGGGAUUGUGUAAAGUCAUCUUCUAUAAAGGUGACGGGCAUGAGUCGUUGUAAGGCACAAUGAGGCAUCUGACGGUUACAAAUUUCCAGGAAUCGUUAUCGUCGAGCGAGAAUCGUGGGCAUGUUCUACAUUCAGUUUGAAUGUGUCUUACACCCUCCUCGCAGAGAGAGGGUGUGUGUCGGAAGUAAUCGACCAAAAUGCAAGAUUGGGCCUGUUUUGGUUAGGGCAUGUACAAAUAAGCAUUACACAACUGCUCAGUCCGGAACAUAUUUAAUAUAAAAAGAUCAAUAAAAAAUGAGGCAUGCUCUAAGGAAUCAAUUCUAAAUGACGUGAAAUCUUAGCAAUGUACAUUUAGUUGAACCUAAAUACAUGAAAACUAUCAUGCAAAUUCAAGCUUCGAACUUGAAGAAAUCCAUAAAAGAAUAAUGUAUUGUGAUUAGCAAAGCACAAUCACACACAUCUCGAUUGUUCGAUUAAGGAUGAUCCAAUUCUUAAAAAAAUUAUUAUUUAAUAUAAAACUAGAGUUCGUAAAGUAGACUGUCCAAAAUCAAGAUGUAGUGAUUGUGUGCAAUCAUAUAAUCGUGACUACACCUAAUCUUGAUGUAACAAUCAUAGCUUAUUACCCCAUCGCUUCCUUAAUAUAAGAAGAAAACCCAAAAAAUUUCAAAACUAAGGCAAUCAUUAAUUGUUGUAACUUUUUAAAUAUUUUUACAAAUAUACUAUUAUAAAAAAUCUUUUACGUAAUAAAUACACCAUAAAAGUUAUGACUUUUUUUAUAAAUAGAAUCAAUUUUUUUUUUUGAAAAAUUUCUUACUAGAGAGAGUAAUUUUGUUUAACAAUAAAGGUUAGUUGUUACUCAAAUGUGCACAAGUUGAUCCGAUAAUAACGUAAAAACAACUUACAAGACAUGAAGUCAAAUAUGUAUUUAAAAAGAUAAAAAUAUAAUUAACGUGUGCACAAAAAUAAUCUUGACGAAUGCCUUUUACCCUUUUGUGAUUUCAGUUGGACAUUUUUAUUACUAAAGUAUAAUAGAAUAUUUUUUUUGACAAAAACAUAAUAAUAUAAAUUGAUGACCCUGUUCAAAAAAAAUAUAAAUUGAUGACCUCAACGCAAAAUAUUCUUAGGUGUUUUUCUAUAAAUAGUUGUUUCACUCUUUCCAGUGUGUCAAUCAAAAUUUGAUCAAAAUAUGAGCUCUAAAUAUUCAUUAGUAUUACUUUUACUUGGAAUGAUAAUGCUCACCACUGUGAUUGGUGAAAGGAAUGAUAAUAAAUUUGAAUAUGAUCCUAUGUUAGAUCCAGAAGAUGAUUGGCCAGAGAUUUUUAAUGAACCGCUACCAUCCUACUAUAAAAUACCUAAAGAGGAGUCACCUGAUUAUGAGACAAACUUGUCAAAUGAAGCCAUCAACCACACCGUUUGAGCCAGUCCACAUUGCAAAAAUUCCUUACCAUUACAAGUGAUCGAAGUGGCAAAAGUGGGUCUAGUAAAAUAAUAAGAAAAAUUGUUUGUCAUAUGAAGUUUUCUUUUCUUUAUUUUUUUUUCUUCCUAUUUACCUCAAAAAUUCUAUUUUUCAAGUAGUGAAGUACAAUUUGCCCCUUUAUUUGAUUAAAGGCUCAAUAAACAUGUAUAUGUAUAAUAAUUACCUCUCAUUUUAGCAUAAAUAAUGUCAACUACUAAAAGUAUUAUCUAUGAUUACCACAAUAAUGCCAAUUUGGCUUGAUAUAUACUCCAUCUAUUUUUCCUCAGAAAAUAUACUCAAUCUAUUUCCAAUUUUAUUGUCAUUUUUAUAAUUUUUCUUUGUCUCAAUAUUUUUUUUAGAUUUUUCUUAAAAUAAUUGUCACUUUAUAAUAUCUAUGUCAUUUCCGGUUUUCGCCCCUAUAAAAUUUUCGGUUUGAUUUGCACUUUUGUAAAUUUUUUAUUUUCCGGAAAACACCCUUAAUAGGCCAUUCAAAAAUCAAAAUUUUUUGCAAAAAAAAUUCUGAAAAUGGCAUAUUAGGGUGUUUUCUGGAAAAUAAAAUUUUUACGAGGGUGCAAAUCAAACCGAAAAUUUUAUAGAGGUGAAAACCAAAAAUGACAUAUAUUACAGGGGUGAAAAACACUAUUAACCCUUAUUUUUUUCAUUGAUAAAUCUUUAUUUUUUGAAUUUCACCAAACUUAACUACUACAAUUAUUAAAAGUGUUUUGAUAUAUGAUACUACUUUUAUCAUUGAGAGCAAUGAGACAACCUAAAAACAACAAUUAAAAUGAGACAAAUGAUAAAAAUUAAAAUUUAUUGAUUAAACUUAUCCGACAUUCUGACUUUAAAAUUUAUUGAACCAUCACGAGUUUACAUAAGGUUGGAUCAACUCAAUGACCUGAACUUGAUCUGUUCGGUGAGAACGGUUGAGUCGCAACGGUUGUGAAGAAUGGUCCCAUGAUCGGUAACGACUUCCAGUGCGGUGGCGUAGCAUCUUAUGUGAUGGAACGAAAGGUGCCUGCAGACACGUUUGAAUUCCGACAAUCAAGUCAGUAAUGGAACUGAGAGAAAAGUUUUAGAAGUGUAGUGAAAAGUGUUGUGUACCUUGAGGGUAAAGCAAGUACACCCUUAUAUAGGCCCGCUCUUGGCAUGACCGUCUCCGGGUUAUGCGGCAUAUGAUUAAGAGCGGGAGUGGACAUGUGUAGCGUGAUCCCGACAGGGAAGCAUGGUCCAAUGUGGCAUGCCGCAGGCGAAUUGGCGUGCUCCUUUGAGUGCGAAGCCUUGAGACUGCGUAAUAUUGCACAUUUGUUGCCGUGUGAGUGGUCUAGAACUGAGCUAUUUUAUUUUUAAAUUCAUCUUUUUUUCAUGAUAGAGGGCUAAGUGAUUUGGUGUAGUUUCGGAGAAGAUCAUAUCUAUACUAUAUAUAAAGAAAACUACCUCUUUCAGCUCUUUUGGGUUGGAUUUUCUUUCCAAAAAUUCCCUCAAUUUUCAAUACAAAUAACACAUGUAACAAAUAGAUCAAAAUAAAUUUAAAUAUUAAAAUAAAAGUGUAACAAACAUAAAUGUUCAAUUUUUUACUUUAUCAUUUAAAAAGUGUAACAAACUAGAUGAGUGUAUCCAUACUUAUUUUUUCAUUAUCCCAAUUACAUUCCCUUAAACAACAACUUUUUCUAUUCUCUAAAAAAACAACUUUUUCUAUAAUAAAGAUUGUUGUUGGUUUCAUUAAAUAAAUACUCCAUCCGUUCCUUUUUAAGUGUCACUUUUGCAGAAAUUUUUUGUUCCUAUUUAACUGGCACUUUCAAAGUUCAAUGCAACAUUAAAUGUUGUUUUACCAAUAUUAUCCUUAGUUAUUUAUUGCGGAGAGAGAAAUAUAUGAAAUGAGAUAUUAAAUGAAUAAGAUCAUUAUAGUAAAAGUAUAGCUUAUUGCAUUAAAAGGAAUAUCAAUUGUUGAUUGUCUUGAUUUCGUAACUCGCGAAGCGUAUUACGAAAUGUGCAUCACAGGAUCCUGAGGAAUUGACCUAUGUUCAGUCUCGUAUUAACCCCCGUCACGCACUAUGAUAUCAUCCUUUAACGAUAUCAUCAACAUAUAUAUUAUAUCAUCAACAUAUAUAUGAACAAUUAAAAUUUCAUCCUUUAAUAAUUUUCAAAAGAGUGUGAUGUCAACUUGAUCUUGUGAAAACCGUUUUCUAAAAUAAUGUUACUAGGGUCUUUCAUACCAAGCUAUGGCAGCUUGUUCCAGAUUAUACAAUGAAAUCUUCAAACUCAGGAAGUUGUUUCAUACACUUCUUCAGAAAUGAUACCUAUAAAAUACGAACUUAUAAAAUCCACUUGAUAUAGAAUGAUAUCAUUAUUUACAACACAUGAUAAUAAUAGACUAAUUGCUUAUAAUUUUGCUACAUGUGCAAAUGUUUCAGCGAAAUCUAUCUCUUCUUGCUGACUAUUUCCUUGUACUACUAGUCUAGCUUUAAUUUUUACUAUAUCAUUUUGUUUAUUGAGCUUGUUUCUGAAAACCCACUUUAUGACAAUGACAUUAUUACCUUUUGAUCUUGGAACUAUUUCUCAAACAUCAUUUCACUUUGAUAAUUGUGCCCUACAAAAUUCCACUAGUCUUUUUAUGACUUCCGAUCAUAACAAGUAGUAUUUACUAUUUUUACAGAGGCUUUUGUGUCAGUUAUUUAGUUUGCUUGAUGCUUGUUUAAGAGUUAUUUUGAAUAAAUGGUUCUUAUGUUACAUAAGGUUUUUAAAAUUUUAUCUUCUUAAUUAACCUUAUAUUUUACCGUAUCCUCAUUGUGUUUAUUAGGUUUAGAGCUAAAAUAAUUUUUGUUUAAAAAAUAACAUGAACUCUAUGUGAUAUUUUAUUUUUUAAUGAUAUCUUGAGCUGUAGGUAACCAAAUGGAGUCAAACUAUUUCCGAAUGAAAUCUAACAUUAAUUGAUACAAGUUUUCAUAAAUAUACUAAAGUCGAAUUCGGCUUGUAAAAUGGUAAAAAAUGUAAAGGAUCUGAAUACAAAAAAGGAAACAAAGAAGAAGUGGAGAUUCAAUCCCCUCAUGUGUAAUUUUAUAUUUUCCUUUCUAAGUCUGAGUAGCUAACUUUUCUUCAGAUUGAAACUCUUGAUUAGUGAUGUCAAUUUUCUAGCAAGGGUUAGUUCGUUGGCAAGUAGUCAAAUAUAUAAAUUUCUUAACCUAAAGGUUUGCAAUACUUCAACUUGACUGCUACGAUUAUGAUUAAGAUAUGUAAGAGAUAUUAUGAUUAAGAUAUGUAGUUUGGGGGGGGGGGAUUAAAAGGCGACGAGGUCAUAUCAUAUUCCCUUGAUUGAUUGCUCAAUUUUAAGACAUCUGAUCGAAUUAGUCAGGCCAGUGUCUUGGUAACUAACACUCUUCAAUAGUUAUGACUCCCUAAUGUCUUAGGUUAGUCUAUAACCAUUGAAGGAUUAGUAAUGCCAAAUUAAGUACAUAAAUCAUUAUUAGAAAAUUUCUAAAGCUAAUAACAACUGAAUGAUUAAAUUAGGUCAAGCCAUUAACGUUAGGGUUAGUAACCACCAAGACCUAAAUCAAUUUAUAAACAUUUAUAAAUGCAUAAAAAAACAUUAAGGAUAAACUCAACCAAUAAAAUAACAAAGUAGACAACUGAAGUCAUAUGAUAAUGUAAAGUUACAAAAUCAAACGAUUACAGAGAAGUUCCUCUUUUAUGACCUAACCCCGAUAGAAUUAGUUACUCGUUAUUUCUAAACAUAAACUACUGCAUAUGAAUAAGAAAACAUGAGAAAAGGAUCACCAGUUGAUGAAUCCAUGGCUCUCAAAUGGAUCUGAUCGCUCCGAUAAUAUGCUAAAAUCGUGUUUCUGCCUUCAUAUUCUCAUCAAAAAGUGUUUUUUCACUGACCAAGGUGUUUGCCUUAUAUAGGUGCGUAUUUUCCUUAAAAUUAGUGAAAGUUGGCCCGCGAUGUUAGCAUAUAAAUUGCGAUGUUAGUUAAACAUAGAGUGAACACCUUGCAUGUCAUUCAUAUCUCACGAUGUGGAGGUUAUAGCCUGCAAUACGAGAUAGAUAGUGGCUGAAUCUUACAAAUUCCAUUUUGAUUCUACAAAUGACUUAAAACUUCUAUAUAAUUUCAUAUCAUCAAUGAUCCUCUUAGAAUCUAAUUGAGUUAUUUUAUUUAUGAGUUCUAGUUUAUGCAAUUGAUACCCAUGUACAUUCAAUAAUUCUUGUUAUUUAAUUGUGAUCUUACCAAUAUUGAAUUGAACCUAAGGUAUUUAAUUAUGGAUAAUUGGUUGUUUUGGUUGUUUGUAUGACUCUAUGUUUGUAAAGUAGUUCUUUUGGCACACCUUAUGCUAGAGGAGUUGCUUUUGGUGGUUAAUAUAUAUUCCAUUUUUGAUUGUUAAAAAAAAGUUAUUGUUCGCUAAGUAAUUGUCUUAGAGAUAUCAUAUCAUUUAGCUGUGACAAAAUUUAGUUGCCGAUCAUGCUUUUGAUGUUAGAUACGCGAGACCUGGCUUGAGUAAAAAAAAUUGGUUUUGCUAUAUUUUGCUAAAUUGUCGGAAACAUAAUCAAUUGUUACGGCUAGUACCACUAUUACCAAAUAGUAACAAAGAGGGGUUAUUGCCAUCAGUUGUUUCAUUUAAUUUACCUAAUUAAGUGGAACAUAAUUGCCAUGGUUUAGAACUGGGGUUAUUGCUUUAGGUUUUUCAAACGGUUUUUAAAGUCUCCUUAUUGGAGAUGCUUUCUCUAAGGUACAUUAGUUCGGCAUAAAACAUGAUGAAAUUCAUAAAACAUUAACGGAUAAGAUUAGUGUUGUGUAAUCAUUGAGACGAUCCAGAUUUUAAAACCUUACCUUUUAAUCCAAAAUUAGAUUUUAGAUAUGGAUCGUCCGAAACCGAGAUGUUAUAAUUGCGUGCAAUCAUAAGAUCAUGACAACACCUAACCCUAAUCUAAUAAACACCAAGAAUGAUAUAUAUAUAUAUAUAUAUAUAUAUAUAUAUAUAUAUAUAAUACCGUUUUUGCUUAUAAAUAGGAACCAAGGGAUAAGAUAUGGAUUUUUUUUUUUUUUGAGGGAGGAUAAGAUAUAGAGUUAAACAUGUAUAAAAUGGUAGAAAUGUGCACAAAAAUAAUCGCAACAAAUGCACACUACCCUUUUGUGACCUCAUUUGGACCAUUUUUAUUACUAAAGUAUAAAAUAUGAUAAAUAAUUUAAGUUGACGUGCUCAACAUUAAAUAUUCUCAAGGGUUUUCUUAUAAAUAGUUGUCUCACCCUUUCCAUUUGUGUGAAUUAAAAUCUAUAAAAACAUGGCCUCUAAAUACUCACAAGUAUUAUUACUUCUACUUGGAAUGAUGGUUCUUACUACUGUAGUGAGUUAUGGGCAUAAUAAAUUUGGGUAUGCGCCAAUGUUAGAUCUAGAGGAGGAUUGGCCAGACCAAUUCUUUCCACCACUUACCAUAAUUGAGGGUCGAAAGUCGCAUAGUUUUGGAUAUCCACCUAUAUUAGAUCCAGAAGAAGAUUGACCUAAUAACUAAUGAGAAAUCAUUUGUUUAUAAGCCAGUCCACAUUUCAAAGCUGUUGUAAGUACAAUUCUUUAUCAAAUGAGUGUUUUUUUCUUCCCACUUUUGUAUAAAACUCUAAUUUUUAAGAAGUGAUGUACUAUUUGAAUAAAGGCUCUAUAAAUAUUUCUAUGUAUAUUAUAUCUCAUUUCAGCAACAAUAAUGCCUAUUACUAGUGGUUUUACCUAUGAUUAAUAUUUUGUUAUUGUCUACAAUUUAAUUAUUCAUUAUGUGAUAACUAAUCAAUAAUAUUUUUUUUGUCAAAAAAUAAUCAAUAAUAUUUGAACAUUCAUCAUUUCAAUACACUCAUUCAACAAAAUAUUUUCUUUUUGUCUAUAUUUUACAAUCACAUCAUCGAUAUAUCACCAAAAUAUUAUAUUUAACUUAUCACAAUAUUUUUUUUUUCAAGAUAUCCUAGUAAGAACGGAUAUAUCCAAAAACAUUUUUUAUAUUAAAAACCCAAAGAAAAAGAUCAAUUAGAUAACAGCUGUACGUCACAUGUUCUAGAACUAUAAACAUAAAAAUAUUCAAAUUAGUUAUGUGUAUCUAGAACAAAAGAUCCAUCUCCUUUUCUUAGACCAUCGAUAAGAUAAUCCUACCGUGGAGUAGAAAAUUUGAGAUUAAAUUGUAACAUCCUGAUUUUUAAUAUUAACCUGUUAAUAUAAUUAUUGGAUAAUAUUAGUAUUAUUGUCAUUAUUAGUAUUGAUUGCUCGAUAUUAUGAAAUUAAAUUAUUCGUGAUUAUAGGUGAUGUUAUGAAUAAUGAGGAAGUAGAGGAGUUAACUAGUUGGUUAAAGAAUGAGAGAAAAUAAUUUUUUUGGAAGAAAAUAGUGUUUUUGGUAAGAAUAAGGAAGUAGAAUGCAAACAGAGAUGCAUUAGUAAAAUUGGAUAGAAAAGAGGUGGAAGUAGCAAAGUGAUGGACAAAAUUGGCAAGUACACCAAAUUAUAACAAGUAGUAAGUUGUAUCGUUCUUCACAAAGAUUGUCGUUCAACUCAAUAUAUAAUUUGCAAAACUUAUUUUAACACGGAAAAUAGUAAUGAUGGUUAGAAUUGCAGGGUUUAAUUGCCCGACCCAAUGCAAGAUUAGGUUUGUGUGAUUCAGAUGUGUAAUAGUGAUUAGGGAAUCCGUGAAUCCCAUCUUCCUUCUUUGUUGGAUCAAUUCAAAGUCCUUAUUAAUUAAGACCUAAAAACUACAUAAACAAAGAACAAUAAUGAACAAAGUACUCCCAUGAACAAUUAUGAAUAAAUAAGAAAUAAGUACUCCCAUGAACGAAUAAUUUCAGGUUGUCAAUCAUACUAAUCUUCUAUGAAUCAAUUUUUAGGAUUACCUAUACAUAUUUUCAAUUGAAAAAUAAUUACGAACAGACUAGUACAAAUUAAAUCGGACACCAGAAUAUAACUGAAUGAAAACUUUAUUAGUUGAAUCUAACAAAUAAGAAGGGGUUCAUAGUUGAACCCUAAUCAAGAGGUUUAUUUGCUCAUGGAAACAUACAUCAUAACAAAACAAAAUAAAAACAUACCCUAGGAAGAGUACAAGGAGGAGAAAUUCCUCCUUGAAUCUAUGAUGCUUGACCCUUGCUCUAAACCGUCAAUGUUUCUGAAUGAAUAAAAUAGUGUGCAAGGAUCUCUAUUUAUAACGUAAGGUUGCUUAGGAUUUAAUUCGAGAAAACUAGGAUUUUCUACCGAUCCAUGUAUGCCUGGGUCUUCUGGGUUUAUUUCUGAAGGAAUUUCCCUUCUUUAGUCCCAUGCACUUUGGGUUUUGUUGCUCAGAUUUGUUCAAGACCUUUGGAUUGGAGGAUAAUCUUGAAUACUCUUUGAACUAAAAUUUGAGUCCCGGCUGGCCAUGAAUCUGAAAGUCCUUUGUUUUGACUUAGUCAACACCUUGGAUCUUGACUCUCUUGUCUCUGAUGGGUUUCGAUUCUCUGCUUUUUCAGCAUUUGGAUUUGAGUAAAAGAGCAGACCCUUUUGAGUGCAAACAGAACAUGAUAAUUGUUUUGUCUUGACAAGAGUAUGUGUAUCCCUAACAGACGCACUUGUGAAGUCAAUUUCUCUCCCUUUUUUCUUACUAAUAUUGUGAGGGGUUAAUAGAUCUUUACCCCCCUGUAAUAUAUGUCAUUUCCGGGUUUCCCCCCUGUAAAAUUAUUUUUUUGAUUUACCCCCUUGUAAUUUUUUUUUGUUUUGAUUUACCCCCCUAAUAGGCCAAACAAAAACGAAAAUUUCUUGAAAAAAAAUAAAAUUAGUUUUUGUUUGGCCUAUUAGGGGGGUAAAACAAAACAAAAAAAAAAUUGCAGGGGGGUAAAUCAAAAAAAUAAUUUUACAGGGUGGAAAACCGGAAAUGACCUAUAUUACAGGGGGGUAAAAACCUAUUAACCCUAUUGUGAGAUAUGGAAGCUAAUCUACUUCUGUCAAAAUCAUAAUCACUAGAUUCUUCAGAUGAACUAUUGAAUUUAGUUGAAAGUAUGUCGAUUUCAUCUGGGGUUAAAAGUUGCCUUAGCAUGAGAUUUUGUCUUGAUAGAUAGUGAUUUUGGCGUCUCAAAGGUUUUAACUCUUCUGAUAAAAAAUUAAAUUGUUUUUGCAAGUCCUUUAAGGAUCUUGAUUUGUUCAGAUAGAGUCUUAGAAGCCUUCUGACAUAAGGAAUAUACCCAUUACAGAUUUGUUCAAAGAUUACCUCAUCAUCCUUAUCUGAAUAUGAGCUUGGUUCUUCACCAGAAGAUGUUUUAACUACUAAACCCAUAUUAGCUUCCUCUUUGUUGUCCUCAGAGUCUGUAUCUUCAUCAAGCAUCUUCCAGGUUUCCAUGAAGAUUUCCUUGAGCUUUCACUUGUAGGUUUCCCUAUGCUGAUUUUCCCUAAUGCGCCUCAGGGAAAUCAGCUAUGAAGUGACCAUUCUUUCCACAGUUGAAGCAUCCUUUUUUAUUAUCUCUUUUGUCUGUGAAGUGGGAUGUCUUUAAGUCACUGCUUCUGCUAAAUGCUAUCUAAGGACACCCUUUGAUAGCUAUUUUUAACAAAAAGUGCUAUAUAAACCCUGCUUUAGACAACAGUUUAUAAAGAAAACAAGCACUAUAUUACAUUUACCAGCGUCAUUUACCAUAGCGCUUUUAAAGUGCUAUAAAUGGUCCGAAAAAUCACUAUCUAUGACCAUUUUUUGCAUAAUGUCUCCUCUCAUAUUAAUCCUCAUAUUACAUCAUUACUUAUCAUAACUCUAUUUCUUUUAAAAUAAUAUAAUAUUAAAUAAAAGUGCAUCAUCAUAAUCCUAAAUAAGACUCAACCUAUUUUAAUAUUAUUAAAUUAAUUGAUUAAAAAUUUGGGGUUUGUACAUGUUCAUCUAGGGAGUCUUCUACAGUGCCUACCAAAUCCAUGUUUCUCUAAUCCGUCGGGUGAAUGGACCAUACGACGCACGAUCGUCAUCAAAAUAUGACAAAGACAAUUAGCGUCUUAUAUGCCUUGGGGAGUGGGGUUACCUUCUACUCGGAGAACUCCUAGGAGAUCUUAUUUUUGGAGAAUGUCUAGGAGAUCUUAUGUUCAGAGAAUGUCUAGGGGACCUGGAUCUUGAUGGAAGGGUAUUCCUUCCCAUGCUGCUAUGAUGUGGGGAAGGAGGUCGAAUAAUUGAACGAGGAUAUGGUGAUCUCCUCAGUAAUCCUUGGAGUGGGGAUCCUUCAUUUCUUUGAUUUGUCGGUUCUGAUCCUUAAUCAUAUAAUUUUUGCGGUGUAGGGUUUGAAGGAUGUUGUUGAACAUGACAUCUACGGGAGAUGUGUUGCUUGCUUCCUUGUUUGGCCGCGAGGGGACAAUUAGUGGAGCCUCUCGAAGGGAACUCGCCAUUGAUGGGACACGAUGGUGCACUCGUCAGUUGGUGAGGGAGUUAAUGUUUGACCGUCACGUUGUGGACGGUGGAUCUCACUCUUGGGAUGCUGCACCGUUGGCCAUCGUAAGAGUAGGUUCCUUUUAGGAAAUUUAUGAAGAUUUGGUCUUUUAAGUAGGAAAAUACGAUACCACUAAUUGUACCUUAUAAGAUGAUGACGUAUGAUGCAGUAGUCUUUGGCUGUUUGUGAGAUUUAAAACGACCAGGGGGGUGUACAUGCAAACACUCUUACGCUCAAGUAAGUUUAAGAUGGUUAGAGAUAGAAAUGGUAUCAUACCUUUGGGGAUUGUGUAAAGUCCUCUUAUAUAAAGGUGACGGGCAUGAGUCGUUGUAAGGCACAAUGAGGCAUCUGACGGUUACAAAUUUCCAGGAAUCGUUAUCGUCGAGCGAGAAUCGUGGGCAUGUUCUACAUUCAGUUUGAAUGUGUCUUACACCCUCCUCGCAGAGAGAGGGUGUGUGUCGGAAGUAAUCGACCCAAAUGCAAGAUUGGGCCUGUUUUGGUUCGGGCAUGUACAAAUAAGCAUUACACAACUGCUCAGUCCGGAACAUAUUUAAUAUAAAAAGAUCAAUAAAAAAUGAGGCAUGCUCUAAGGAAUCAAUUCUAAAUGACGUGAAAUCUUAGCAAUGUACAUUUAGUUGAACCUAAAUACAUGAAAACUAUCAUGCAAAUUCAAGCUUCGAACUUGAAGAAAUCCAUAAAAGAAUAAUGUAUUGUGAUUAGCAAAGCACAAUCACAUACAUCUCGAUUGUUCGAUCAAGGAUGAUCCAGUUCUUAAAAAAAAUUACUAUUUAAUAUAAAACUAGAGUUCGUAAAGUAGACUGCCCAAAACCAAGAUGUAGUGAUUGUGUGCAAUCAUAUAAUCGUGACUACACCUAAUCUUGAUGUAACAAUCAUAGCUUAUUACCCCAUCCCGUCCUUAAUAUAAGAAGAAAACCCAAAAAAUUUUAAAACUAAGACAAUCAUUAAUUGUUGUAACUUUUUAAAUAUUUUUACAAAUAUACAAUCAUAAUCUUUUACGUAAUAAAUACACCAUAAAAGUUAUGACUUUUUUUAUAAAUAGAAUCAAUUUUUUUUUGAAAAAUUUCAUACUGGAGGGAGAAAUUUUGUUUAACAAUAAAGGUUAGUUGUUACUCAAAUGUGCACAAGUUGAUCCGAUAAUAACGUGAAAACAACAUACAAGACAUGAAGUUAAAUAUGUAUUUAAAAAGAUAAAAAUAUAAUUAAUGUGUGCACAAAAAUAAUCCCGACGAAUGCCUUUUACCCUUUUGUGACUUCAGUUGGACAUUUUUAUUACUAAAGUAUAAUAGAUAAUUUUUUUGACAAAAGCAUAAUAAUAUAAAUUGAUGACCCUGUUCAAAAAAAAUAUAAAUUGAUGACCUCAACACAAAAUAUUCUUAGGUGUUUUCCUAUAAAUAGUUGUUUCACUCUUUCCAGUGUGUCAAUCAAAAUUCGAUCAAAAUAUGAGCUCUAAAUAUUCAUUAGUAUUACUUUUACUUGGAAUGAUAAUGCUUACCACUGUGAUUGGUGAAAGGAAUAAUAAUAAAUUUGAAUAUGAUCCUAUGUUAGAUCCAGAAGAUUAUUGGCCAGAGAUUUUUCAUGAACCACUACCAUCCCACUAUAAAAUACCUAAAGAGGAGUUACCUGAUUAUGAGACAAACUAGUCAAAUGAAGCCAUCAACCACACCGUUUGAGCCAGUCCACAUUGCAAAAAUUUCUUAUCAUUACAAGUGAUCGAAGUGGCAAAAGUGGGUCUAGUAAAAUAAUAAGAAUAAUUGUUUGUUAUAUGAAGUUUUCUUUUCUUUAUUUUUUUCUUCCUAUUUACCUUUAAAAUUCUAUUUUUUUAAGUAAUGAAGUACAAUUUGCCCCUUUAUUUGAUUAAAGGCUCAAUAAACAUGUAUAUGUAUAAUAAUUACCUCUUAUUUCAGCAUAAAUAAUGUCAACUACUAAAAAUUUUAUCUAUGAUUACAACAAUAAUGCCAAUUUGGUUUGAUAUAUACUCCAUCUAUUUUUCCUCAAAAAAUAUACUCAAUCUAUUUCCAAUUUAAUUGUCAUUUUUAUAAUUUUUCUUUGUCUCAAUAUGACUAAGAGCGGGAGUGGACAUGUGUAGCGUGAUCCCGACAGGGAGGCAUGCUCCAAUGUGGAACGACGCAGGCGAAUUGGCGUGCUCCUUUGAGUGCGAAGCCUUGAGGCUGCGUAAUAUUGCACAUUUGUAGCCGUGUGAGUGGUCUAGAACUGAGCUAUUUUAUUUUUAAAUUCAUCUUCUUUUUCAUGAUAGAGGGCUAAGUGAUUUGGUGUAGUUUCGGAGAAUAUCAUAUCUAUACUAUAUGUAAAGAAAACUACCCCUUUCAGCUCUUUUGGGUUGGAUUUUUCUUUGCGGAAAUGCUCUCAAUUUUCAAUACAAAUAACACAUGUAACAAAUAGAUAAGAAUAGAUUUAAAUAUUUAUACUAUAUAUAAAGAAAACUACCCCUUUUAGCUCUUUUGGGUUGAAUUUUUCUUUCCAAAAAUUCCCUCAAUUUUCAAUACAAAUAACACAUGUAACAAAUAUAUAAAAAUAAAUUUAAAUAUUAAAAUAAAAGUGUAACAAACAUAAAUGUUCAAUUUUUUACUUUAUCAUUUAAAAAGUGUAACAAACUAGAUGAGUGUAUCCAUACUUAUUUUUUCAUUAUCCCAAUUACAUGCCCUUAAACAACAACUUUUUCUAUUCUCUAAAAAAACAACUUUUUCUAUAAUAAAGAUUGUUGUUGGUUUCAUUAAAUAAAUACUCCAUCCGUUCCUUUUUAAGUGUCACUUUUGCAGAAAUUUUUUGUUCCUAUUUAACUGGCACUUUCAAAGUUCAAUGCAACAUUAAAUGUUGUUUUACCAAUAUUAUCCUUAGUUAUUUAUUGCGGAGAGAGAAAUAUAUGAAAUGAGAUAUUAAAUGAAUAAGAUCAUUAUAGUAAAAGUAUAGCUUAUUGCAUUAAAAGGAAUAUCAAUUGUUGAUUGUCUUGAUUUCGUAACUCGCGAAGCGUAUUACGAAAUGUGCAUCACAGGAUCCUGAGGAAUUGACCUAUGUUCAGUCUCGUAUUAACCCCCGUCACGCACUAUGAUAUCAUCCUUUAACGAUAUCAUCAACAUAUAUAUUAUAUCAUCAACAUAUAUAUGAACAAUUAAAAUUUCAUCCUUUAAUAAUUUUCAAAAGAGUGUGAUGUCAACUUGAUCUUGUGAAAACCGUUUUCUAAAAUAAUGUUACUAGGGUCUUUCAUACCAAGCUAUGGCAGCUUGUUCCAGAUUAUACAAUGAAAUCUUCAAACUCAGGAAGUUGUUUCAUACACUUCUUCAGAAAUGAUACCUAUAAAAUACGAACUUAUAAAAUCCACUUGAUAUAGAAUGAUAUCAUUAUUUACAACACAUGAUAAUAAUAGACUAAUUGCUUAUAAUUUUGCUACAUGUGCAAAUGUUUCAGCGAAAUCUAUCUCUUCUUGCUGACUAUUUCCUUGUACUACUAGUCUAGCUUUAAUUUUUACUAUAUCAUUUUGUUUAUUGAGCUUGUUUCUGAAAACCCACUUUAUGACAAUGACAUUAUUACCUUUUGAUCUUGGAACUAUUUCUCAAACAUCAUUUCACUUUGAUAAUUGUGCCCUACAAAAUUCCACUAGUCUUUUUAUGACUUCCGAUCAUAACAAGUAGUAUUUACUAUUUUUACAGAGGCUUUUGUGUCAGNGGGGGGGGGGUGGAUUAAAAGGCGACGAGGUCAUAUCAUAUUCCCUUGAUUGAUUGCUCGAUUUUAAGACAUCUGAUCAAAUUAGUUAGGCCAGUGUCUUGGUAACUGUUAAGAAUCAUGGAAUCAUAGGGAGAAAAGUCAUAGAUGUAAGCGAGAUAGCAAGCAUAAGAGUACUCAUGUGGGAGAUACUCAUAGAAACUCAUUGUAGAAAUGAAUAGAUUGAUAAAAAGAUAUUGAAUGAGUACAAUAGUGUUCCUAUAUAUAAGAGAUUAGUUUGAGUAACUAACUCUAACUAACUUCUAACCAAACUACUAACUCUAGUUUACUUAUCAACUAACUAUAGUUGAUUACAAUUACUCUAGUCUAACUACCUUAACUAACUACACAUAACUUCCAACUAUUUUAACAGUAACUAACACUCUUCAAUAGUUAUGACUCCUUAAUGUCUUAGGUUAGUCUAUAACCAUUGAAGGAUUAGUAACGCCAAAUUAAGCACAUAAAUCAAUAUUAGAAAAUUUCUAAAGCUAAUAACAACUAAACGAUUAAAUUAAAUUAGGUCAAGCCAUUAAAGUCAGGGUUAGUAACCACCAAGACCUAAAUCAAUUUAUAAACAUUUAUAAAUGCAUAAAAAAGCAUUAAGGAUAAACUCAACCAAUAAAAUAAUAAAGUAGACAACUGAAGUCAUAGGAUAAUUUAAAGUUACAAAAUCAAACGAUUACAGAGAAGUUCCUCUUUUAUGACCCAACCCCGAUAGAAUUAGUUACUCGUUAUUUCUAAACAUAAACUACUGCAUAUGAAUAAGAAAGCAUGAGAAAAGGAUCAUCAGUUGAUGAAUCCAUGGCUCUCAAAUGGAUCUGAUCGCUCCUAAUAUACCAAAAUCGUGUUUCUGCCUUCAUAUUCUCAUCAAAAAGUGUUUUUUCACUGACCUAGGUGUUUGCCUUAUAUAGGCACGUAUUUUCCUUAAAAUUAGUGAAAGUUGGCCCGCGAUGUUAGUUAAACAUAGAGUGAACACCUUGCAUGUCAUUUAUAUCUCACGAUGUGGAGGUUAUAGCCUGCAAUACGAGAUAGAUAGUGGUUGAAUCUUACAAAUUCCAUUUUGAUUUUACAAAUGACUUAAAACUUCUAUCUAAUUUCAUAUCAUCAAUGAUCCUCUUAGAAUCUAAUUGAGUUAUUUUAUUUAUGAGUUCUAGUUUAUGCAAUUGAUACCCAUGUACAUUCGAUAAUUCUUGUUAUUUAAUUGUGAUCUUACCAAUAUUGAAUUGAACCUAAGGUAUAAUUCACUACCAGCCCUAAAUUUGUAUCUGGAUAAUGGUUUGUUUUGGUUGUUUGUAUGACUCUAUGUUUGUAAAAUAGUUCUUUUGGCACACCUUGUACUAGAGGAGUUGCUUUUGGUGGUUAAUAUAUAUUCCAUUUUUUAUUGUUCAAAAAAAAGUUAUUGUUCGCUAAGUAAUUGUCUUAGAGAUAUCAUAUCAUUUAGCUGUGACAAAAUUUAGUUGCCGAUCAUGCUUUUGAUGUUAGACACGCGAGACCUGGCUUGAGUCAAAAAAUUGGUUUUGCUAUAUUUUGCUAAAUUGUCGUGAACAUAAUCAAUUGUUACGGCUAGUACCACUAUUACCAAAUCCUAAUCUCUGUUAAUCAUCAGUUGUUUCAUUUAAUUUAGCUAAUUAAGUGGAACAUAAUUGCCAUGGUUUAGAACUGGGGUUAUUGCUUUAGGUUUUUCAAACGGUUUUUAAAGUCUCCUUAUUGGAGAUGCUUUCUCUAAGGAUUCAAUUCUAAAUAACGUGAAAUCUUAGUAAUGUACAUUAGUUCGGCAUUAAAACAUGAUGAAAUUCAUAAAACAUUAACGGAUAAGAUUAGUGUUGUGUAAUCAUUGAGACGAUCCAGAUUUUAAAACCUUACCUUUUAAUCCAAAAUUAGAUUUUAGAUAUAGACCGUCCGAAACCGAGAUGUUGUAAUUGUGUGCAAUCAUAAGAUCAUGACUACACCUAACCCUAAUCUAAUAAACACCAAGAAUGAUAUAUAUAUAUAUAUAUAUAUAUAUAUAUAUAUAUAUAUAUAUAUAUAUAAUACCGUUUUUGCUUAUAAAUAGGAAGCAAGGGAUAAGAUAUGGAUUUUUUUUUUUUGAGGGAGGAUAACAUAUAGAGUUAAACAUGUAUAAAAUGGUAGAAAUGUGCACAAAAAUAAUCACAACAAAUGCACACUACCCUUUUGUGACCUCAUUUGGACCAUUUUUAUUACUAAAGUAUAAAAUAUGAUAAAUAAUUUAAGUUGACGUGCUCAACAUUAAAUAUUCUCAAGGGUUUUCUUAUAAAUAGUUGUCUCACCCUUUCCAUUUGUGUGAAUUAAAAUCUAUAAAAACAUGGCCUCUAAAUACUCACAAGUAUUACUUCUACUUGGAAUGAUGGUUCUUACUACUGUAGUGAGUGAUGGGCAUAAUAGUUUUGGGUAUGCGCCAAUGUUAGAUCCAGAGGAGGAUUGGCCAGACCAAUUCUUUCCACCACUUACCAUAAUUGAGGGUCGAAAGUCGCAUAGUUUUGGAUAUCCACCUAUAUUAGAUCCAGAAGAAGAUUGACCUAAUAACUAAUGAGAAAUCAUUUGUUUAUAAGCCAGUCCACAUUUCAAAGCUGUUGUAAGUACAAUUCUUUAUCAAAUGAAGUGUUUUUUUCUUCCCACUUUUGUAUAAAACUCUAAUUUUUAAGAAGUGAUGUACUAUUUGAAUAAAGGCUCUAUAAAUAUUUCUAUGUAUAUUAUAUCUCAUUUCAGCAACAAUAAUGCCUAUUACUAGUGGUUUUACCUAUGAUUAAUAUUUUGUUAUUGUCUACAAUUUAAUUAUUCAUUAUGUUAUAAAUAAUCAAUAAUUUUUUUUUUGACAAAAAAUAAUCAAUAAUAUUUGAACAUUCAUUAUUUCAAUACACUCAUUCAACAAAAUAUUUUCUUUUUGUCUAUAUUUUACAAUCACAUCAUCGAUAUAUCACCAAAAUAUUAUAUUUAUCUUAUCACAAUAUUUUUUUUUUCAAGAUAUCCUAGUAAGAACGGAUAUCCAAAAACAUUUUUUUAUAUUAAAAACCCAAAGAAAAAGAUCAAUUAGAUAACAUCUGUACGUCACAUGUUCUAGAACUAUAAACAUAAAAAUAUUCAAAUUAGUUAUGUGUAUCUAGAACAAAAGAUCCAUCUCCUUUCCUUAGACCAUCGAUAAGGUAAUCCUACCGUGGAGUAGAAAAUUUGAGGUUAAGUUGUAAUAUCCUGAUUUUUAAUAUUAAUAUGUUAAUAUAAUUAUUGGAUAAUAUUAGUAUUAUUGUCAAUUAUUAGUAUUGAUUGCUCGAUAUUAUGAAAUUAAAUUAUUCGUGAUUAUAGGUGUUAUGAAUAAUGAGGAAGUAGAGGAGUUAACUAGUUUGGUUAAAGAAUGAGAGAAAAUAAUUUUUUGGGAAGAAUAUAGUGUUUUUGGUAAGAAUAAGGAAGUAGAAUGCAAACAGAGGUGCAUUAGUAAAACUGGAUAGAAAAGAGGUGGAAGUUGCAAAGUGAUGGACAAAAUUGGCAAGUACACCAAAUUGUAAUAAGUAGUAAGUUGUAUCGUUCUUCACAAAGAUUGUCGUUCAACUCAAUAUAUAAUUUGCAAAACUUAUUUUAACACGGAAAAUAGUAAUGAUGGUUAGAAUUGCAGGGUUUAAUUGCCCGACCCAAUGCAAGAUUAGGUUUGUGUGAUUCAGAUGUGUAAUGUGAUUAGGGAAUCCGUGAAUCCCAUCUUCCUUCUUUGUUGGAUCAAUUCAAAGUCCUUAUUAAUUAAGACCUAAAAACUACAUAAACAAAGAACAAAGUACUCCCAUGAACAAUUAUGAAUAAAUAAGAAAUAAGUACUCCCAUGAACGAAUAAUUCCAGGUUGUCAAUCAUACUAAUCUUCUAUGAAUCAAUUUUCAAGAUUACCUAUACAGAUUUUCAAUUGAAAAAUAAUUACGAACAGACAAGUACAAAUUAAAUCGGACACCAGAAUAUAACUGAAUGAAAACUUUAUUAGUUGAAUCUAACAAAUAAGAAGGGGUUCAUAGUGGAACCCUAAUCAAGAGGUUUAUUUGCUCAUGGAAACAUACAUCAUAACAACAUAAAAUAAAAACAUACCCUAGGAAGAAUACAAGGAGGAGAAAUUCCUCCUUGAAUCUAUGAUGCUUGACCCUUGCUCUAAACCGCCAAUGUUUCUGAAUGAAUAAAAUAGUGUACAAGGGUCUCUAUUUAUAACGUAAGGUUGCUUAGGAUUUAAGUCGAGAAAGCUAUGAUUUUCUACCGAUCCAUGUAUGCUUGGGUUCUCUGGGUUUAUUUCUGAAGGAAUUUCCCUUCUUUAGUCCCAUGCACUUUGGGUUUUGUUGCUCAGAUUUAUUCAAGACCUUUGGAUUGGAGGAUAAUCUUGAAUACUCUUUGAACUAAAAUUUGAGUCCCGGUUGGCCAUGAAUCUAAAAGUCCUUUGUUUUGACUUAGUUAACACCUUGGAUCUUGACUUUCUUGUCUCUGAUGGGUUUUGAUUCUCUGCUUUUUCAGCAUUUGGAUUUGAGUAAAAGAGCAGACCCUUUUGAGUGCAAACAAAACAGGAUAAUUGAUUUGUCUUCACAAGAGUAUGUGUAUCCUUAACAGACGCACUUGUGAAGUCAAUUUCUCUCCCUUUUUUCUUACUAAUAUUGUGAGAUAUGGAAGCUAAUCUACUUCUAUCAAAAUCAUAAUCACUAGAUACUUCAGAUGAACUGUUGAAUUUAGUUGAAAGUAUGUCGAUUUCAUCUGGGUUAAAAGUUGCCUUAGCAUGAGAUUUUGUCUUGACAGAUAGUGAUUUUGGCGUCUCAAAGGUUUAACUCUUCUGAUAAAAAAUUAAAUUGUUUUUGCAAGUCCUUUAAGGAUCUUGAUUUGUUCAGAUAGAGUCUUAGAAGCCUUUUGACAUAAGGAAUAUACUCAUUACAGAUUUGUUCAUAGAUUACCUCAUCAUCCUCAUCUGAAUAUGAGCUUGGUUCUUCACCAGAAGAUGUUGUAACUACUAAACCCAUAUUAGCUUCCUCUUUGUUGUCCUUAGAGUCUGUAUCUUCAUCAAGCAUCUUCCAGGUUUCCAUGAAGAUUUCCUUGAGCUUUCACUUGUAGGUUUCCGUUUUGAGGUUUCCCUAUGCUGAUUAGCCCUAAUGUGCGUCAGGGAAAUCAGCUAUGAAGUGACCAUUCUUUCCACAGUUGAAGCAUCCUUUUUUAUUAUCUCUUUUGUCUGUGAAGCGGGAUGUCUUUAAGUCACUACUUCUGCUAGGAAAUCUUCUUUUCAUAGUCAAGUAAGUCAUCUCUUAAAAAUCUUCAUUAUCAUCAGAUUCAUCAUUUGAAUCCUUCUAUUCUGAUUUAGUAGUUUGAGGAGAUUUGGUGGUCUUUUCCUUAGAGGUAAAGGAAACAGACUUAGAGAGAUUGUUUGGUUCGUCACCUUCAAGUUCCAUCUCAUGGCUUUAGAGAGAAAAUAUCGGGUUCUCCAAGUCUUUUGCCUCUUGUAUGGUAGUGACUUUUGGCCUUAACCUUGCAAGAAGACUCGUAAGAAUCUUAUUUACAUGGUUUGGUGCAACAUAUCUUUUUUUUGGACCUUGAAGUCCAAAGAAAAGAGUUUGAAACCUUGAAUACAUGGUUUCAAUAUCUUGAUCCUCUUUCAUCUUGAAAAGCUCAAACUGGUAAACCAGCUGGUUUGCCAUAGCUUCCUUUACCUGCUGAUUUCCUUCGUAGGUAGAGUACAAUGAUUCAAAGAUGGACUUUCCAGUAGAUCUAUCCCCAAUCUUCGUGUAUUCAGUAUGAGGUAAAACUUCCACCAGAAUCCCUCUCACUCUAUGGUGCUUUUUAUAGAUCUUCUUUUGAGUGGCAGUCGACUUCUUCCUGUCUGUUAACAUUCCUUCUUCUUUAGCCUCAAAGCCAAGUCAAUCUUCAAUAACAUUCCAGAGUUCAUCAUUAAUCCCUAUGAUCUACCUAUAGAUUUUCCUCUUCCACCAAGACAACUGAGAGCAUCUCCAUUAAAAAAUGAAGGAUUAGCAGAAUAACUGUUCUUCUUAAUGGUGGAGAUGUUGUUGAUAUCAAGCUUGAAAGUUUCACUGAUCGAAGUCACGUCUUUCUCACUAGUUCUUUUUAUGUGGCACGGUUAGGUGACAGAGCACAUAACAGGCUCUAAUACAAACUAAAGGUGAGAAACACACAUAGGAAGGGGGGGUUGAAUUGUGGCCUUUUUGACGGUUUCUUUUUCUAAGCGUUUAAUACAGUCUUGGACAGAAUCUGAUGUUGCAGAUUCUGACUCAGAGUCUGCUUGUAGCAGAAAUACAGAACACACAGAUAAAAGAUAAAUAGUCCGAGAGAGAUAAGACAAACACAAGGCAAUUUAUAUUGGUUCCUCCCACAAAACAAGAGUAGUCUAGUUCCCUUGCACUUCUUAGGGAUUUCACUAUAAUCACUUAGAUUACAACUUGCUCAAGGAUACACCAAGAGACUUCUCAAUGCUCAAGCACACAGCAAGAGACUUCUAUGCUCUAGGACUCUAUCUAAAGACUACUUUUCUCAAGCACACUUGCAAGAGACUUCCCAAUGCUUAAGCACAACUGCUUAAGACUUUACCACUCUCAAUCACAACUAACUGACACUUUCUAGGUGCUCAAGGUUUCACUAGGAGACUUAUAUGCUCAAGCACGUAAGCAAAAGACUUUCUCAAAUAUUUGCCCCAACUACAAACAAUUUAACUUAUUCUUACACUUUUUCUAACUAGUAAGUCUAAACUGAACAAUAGUAGUGAUUUGAGAGACGUUGGAGAGGAGUGCCAACACAAAUAGAGUCAUUGACAAGCUUUGAUCAUGAACGUUGGCCUUUUGCCUGAUAUGAAUAAUCCCAAUGAAAAGUCCUUUGAAUUUCCUUUGCUAUUCGUUGUUAUCUUCGUUCCUAGUGUCCUUUGUCUGGUUGAACACGUUUAUGGAAGAAGACAAAAGAACUGCUAUAUCAGAUGCUAUGAUAGAGAUAACUCACAAAAUAAUAAAAUAGCUUAUGUGGAUUAUGGGUCCCUUAGAUCCAAGUAGCCAGUCAAAUUUUGUGUUUGAUGUCCUUCACAUGAUCUAUGGAGAUCACCCACUAGCUUAUGUGAGACUUCCUUCUUCUAAGGACGUGUACUUCUGGUUGAACUUCCAGUAGAUCUUCCACCAUAGUCUUAUAAGCUUCUCAAUCCCUUUAUGAUGCUAUUCAUAUGUUCCUUCUUCAAGGUAAGUAGAUCCUGCACACUUGAACAUAUGUUAGUAUUCCAAUUGUUCUUCAAUACUUUGUUAUCAUCAAAACCCAAGAGAAUUUAUUUGAACCAUUCUUGGUCUAACAAAGGAUUGCGUUAUUUCUGCUUGACUACUACGUUUGUGAUUAGCUUAUGUUAGGGGGGUUGCAGUUGUCAAUUAGUGUUUUUGAAGUGACAUAAAAGAGAGAGAUUAAAAGGCGACUAUGUCAAAUGAUAUUACCUUCUCUAAAAUUGUAUAGUAACUACAAGUUAUGAAUACAUUUUGGAUUGAUUCCUCGGUUUUAAUACAUUGAUGAAAGUAGUUAGGCAAUGUCUUGGUCAAUAACAAUCUUCAAUAGUUAUGACUUCCUAAUGUCUUAGGUUAGUCCAUAACCAUAGCAUGUUUAAUAACAUCAAAUUAAGUACACAAAUCUUUAUUACAAAAUAUAUAAAUUUAAUAACAACUGAACUAUUAAAUAUGUAUAAAAUGGUAGAAAUGUCAUUUCUGCGUGCACAAAAAUAAUCCCAAGAAAUGCAUAGUACCCUUUAGUGACCUUAUUUGGACAUUUUUAUUACUAAAGUAUAAAAUAUGAUAAAUAAUUUAAGUUGACGUGCUCAACACAAUAUUCUCAUAUUUGUUUUUUUUCUUAUAAAUAGAUGUCUCACUCUUUCCAUUUGUGUGAAUCAAAUUCCAUAAUAACAUGGCCUCUAAAUACUCACUAGUAUUACUUCUACUUGGAAUGAUGGUACUUACCACAGUAGUGAGUGAUAGGAGGCCAGACCUUUUCUUUGGGUAUGUGCCUGUAUUAGAUCUAGAAGAGGAUUGGCCAGACCUUUUCUUUCCACCAUCUACCAUUAUAGUGGGUGGAAAGCCAAAUAGUUUUAGAUAUCCGCCUAUAUUAGAUCCAGAAGAAGAUUAACCUAAUAACUAAUGAGAAAUAAUUUGUUUAUGAGCCUGUCCACAUUUCAAAGCUAUUAUAAGUACAAUUCUUUAUCAUAUGAAGUGUUUUUUUCUUCCCAUUUUUGUAUAAAACUCUAAUUUUUAAGAAGUGCUGUACUAUUUGAUAUUAUAAAACUCGAAUAAAGGCUCUAUAAAUAUGUCUAUGUAUAUUACAUCUCAUUUCAGCAAUAACAGUGCCUAUUACCACUGGUUUUACCUAUGAUUAAUAUUUUGUUAUUGUCUACAAUUUAAUUAUUCAUGAUAUGACAAAUAAUCGAUGAUAUUUGAUCAUUCGUCAUUACAAUAUACUUAUUCAACAUAAUAUUAUCUUUUUAGGAUUAAUAGUGUUUUUCUUCCGUAAUAUAAGUUAUUUUUGGUUUUUCCCCUGUAGUUUUUUUUUAUUUUAAUUUCAACCUUGUAAUUUGUAGAUUUUUUGUUGUAAUUUGAGCAAAUUUAGGUUUACCCCCUUGUAAUUUGAGCAAAUUUCGGUUUACCCUCUGUCAUAUCUUCAAUUUUGUACAGUCAAAAUUCAUGAAAGUCCAAAACCAAAAAUCUUCAAAUUACAAGGACAAAAUCCAAAAAAAAUAAUUUUAGAAGGGAUAAAACAUGAAAUGACCUAUAUUAUAAGGGGUAAAAUACUAUUAUAUUCACAAAGAUAUUAUAUUUAUAUUUUACAAUCACGUCAUUGAUAUAUCACAAAAAUAUUAUAUUAAUCUUAUCACGCUAUUUAUUUCUCUCUCAAGAUAUCAUAAAAAGAAUGGAUAUCCAAAAGCAAUUUUUAUUUUCAAAACACAGAAAAGAUCAAUUACAUAACAACAGUACGUCACAUGUUCUACAAUUAUCUAUUCUCUUCUAUACCAUGUCUAAAGAAAAUAAAAUGUUUCGACACUUUUGGGCUAACUUUUUCUCUUUUUAAAAUUAUCGUCAACUUUCAUUUCAAACAGUGUAUAUAACAAAUAGAUAAGAAUAAGUUCAAAUAUUAAAAUAAAAGUGUACCAAUCUAGAUGAACAUAUCUAUAUCUUUUUUUUUACUAUCCCAAUUAUAUCCUUAAACCACUUUUUCUAUAAUAAAGUUUGUUGUUAGUAUAAUAAAGAUUGUUGUUAGUGUCAUUAAAAAAAAGAAUUUAAAUUAUAUUUUUUUGUUAUAUCAUUGAUAUUUUUUUUUGUUAUAUUGUUAGUGUCAUUGAAAUAGAUAAUCAUGGUUAGUUUGAUUUGUUAUGAUUUUAAAACAACAAACAUUUAUAUUUUUAGUUUUAAUUAAAAUCAAAAUUUCAUAAAAAACAUUGUUCAUAAUUUUCAAAUAUUAACGCAAUAAAAAGAACGCAAAGACGGACACGUGAGUGCCUGUUUUCGCUAGUAAACAUAAAAAUAUUCAAAUCAGUUAUGUGUAUCUAGGACAAAAGAUCCAUCUUAGUUUCUUAAGCUAUCCAUAAGCCCUUAAAUUUUGAUGAGAACAAAAUGUAUAUGAGAACAAUUAAGAUACAUUAAUAUUCGUUUAAAUGGGUAGGAAAUUCAAAGUAAAUGAAGUUUAACCUCUGGACUAAGUCAACGCUCUGGACUAUGAUAAAUGCUCUAGAGCUUGAAUUGAAUUGAAGCUCUAUGUCAUAAAUCAUAAAUAAAGACAAUAUGAAAGAGAUAAAAAACAUAAAAGGGAAGGGGUUGAAUUGUGUUGGUUUUCUUAAAAUUUUCGAAGUGUUUUAGCAUUUGGUCAGCGUCCGAUAGCAGCCACAAAACAUAACUUGUUUCCAUAUAUUUCUAUUGAUAACAAUAUAAAUUUUUUUGUUAUCAUGAUUGAAGUUGAAACCCAAUAUCACCUACUCCUAAAAUCAUUAGAUCCGAUAAUGGCCCACAAUUUUAUCUUCUAAACUUUUACGAAUCUAAUAGUAUAAUUCAUCGAAAAUCCUGUGUAGAAACCCCCACAGCAAAAUGGUUGUGUUGAAAGAAAACACCAACAUAUUUUGUGUCCAUUUGUAUAAAGCUGUAUAAAGCUACAGAACUAUAUAGUGUCUGUAUUGUGUUUGCAUUUUUGUAUUCAUUUAUCAUUUCUCUAUAUUAAAUGUAAGAAGAGUGACCACACCUUUACUUCAACGCAGAUCCCUUUUUCAAACUUUAUUUGACACCACCCUACCAAAAAUCUUUUCAAAUUUUUAGUUGUUUAUGAUAUGCUUGCACUAUACAAGCACAUAGAACCAAAUAACAUCUCAAUCUAGAAAUUCAGUUUUAUUAGGCUACAAGUAAGGUUACAAAGGUUAUGUUUUGUUUUAUCUCCAUUCUCAUAAUAUUUUUAUUUCCAAAAAAGUUGUAUUUCAUGAACAAAUAGUAUAUUUUACUUCAAAUACUUUUCAUGAAGUUUCCGUUACUCAAACUCCUGCUGUAAUUUAUGACAAUAUUUCACCAUCACAAUGGAAAUACUUCUCCAUUCUUCUUAGGAAACUAAAAAUGGGUGAUGGAAAUCUAGAAAAAACAACCAAAGAUGCAGCUUGAGAAGGUUAUAACAACGGUAAAAAAAAAAAACACCGCGCAAACUAAGAAGAAGAAAGAUAAGGCCACAAACUCUCUAUGGUAUAAGUCUUAUAACUAUGUUUUCUUUAUUAACAAGCAUUUCAACUUCGACAAAGAUGUGCUUGUGAUAAAAAAUAUGGGUUUGGCUAAGGCGAGCGAGCUUAUGGUCAAUUAUGGGACUUUACAUGUCCUUGCAAGAGAAAAGAGCAUCCAAAUCAUUAUUUAUUGAAAACUUAAUUGGGGUACUUGGCUUUACACCAGAAAUUGAAAAACAAAAUAAACAGAUAAAAUGAUGCGAGCCUCAUUAAAAACUCCAUUAAUGGAGAAAAGAGUGCUUCACUUAUUCCUAUAUUUAAACAAUGUUACAAAAUGCUCCAACAAGCCCACUUCUUCCCUCCAUUCUGCAAUGUACCUAUAAUUCAAAAAGCAUCACAAUUAGGCAGGAGAGUGAAACAACAAAGAAACAAAAGAUAAAAAAACUCAAAAGUAAUUGCAUACAAAAAACCAAAAAAUAUAGCCAUAAUUAUUAUGGAAAAAAUUAAGAAAUUAACUUCAUCCAUGCACGAUAAAAAGAGAAUAAUUCUCAGCUUGCAAAAUCAGCUUGAAUUGGUGUAAUAAAAAAUGAUAUCCAAUAUAUAUUAAUUGACAAAUAAGUUUAUGCUUAAAAUCUAGACAAUCGAGUAUUAAACAUGGCCACAAGAUCAGUCAAUUUAUUCAGCAUAUCUAUAACAAAAAUAAUCAUGCAUGCAUUACACAAUAUUACUUGAAUUAAUAAAAGAAGAACUUACUAUCAACAAGUUGAAGCCAAGCUUUCAACAUAAUCCUUGACUGAAAACCAACAUAUUGAAUUGGUAAUUCUUGUUCUCUCUACCUUAUUAUUUCUCUUAUUAUAUAGAAUUGCUUGGCCUUCUAAGCUGCUUGCCAAUAUCAUAGCAUCACUGUCCUCCGAAAGAUGCAAUGGCACCAAAUAAAAUUGCCGAAUAUUGUAAUUGAUUUGAAGAUUUUCAUAACUAAUUUUAAGAAAUUGACACCAAGACUCUUCAACUCUGAAUUCCUCCAUUUUCCAUAUAACAAAAUGACUUUGCUUAAAAUCAUACGAAAAAGUAAGGAAUCCCUUCAACACACCAAUAGUUGGGUAAACACGAGGCAAAUCAUCAAAACCUUGAGGCAGGCGCAUCUGUGUGUAUGUCUCAGUUCCCAAAUCAAGUGAAAUUAUCACAUAUUUGUCAACUGAAUAAAAAGGAUUAUCAAAAACCGCCAACCAAUUAACAGUGCCACUCAAAUACACACCAUUUUGCACCCGUUGACCAACGUUGAGCAACUGAAGAGGAAUGGCAGGGAAAUUUUCAAUAUUUCUCCAUAAAUUAUCAGCUAAACUAAAAACUUUCACCGUUGUUAUCUUCGUAGUUCCAGUACGAGUAUGAAAAUUCAAUAACACGGCCUUAUAAGUAGAGGUUAAAUUAUCGUAACCAAAUGCAAACUUAAAAUAUCUCCGUUCAUGAAUUGGAUAGUUUAAAAGGCUUAAAUACCCUAACUUUUCAGAUUUUGUUCUUGUGCAUGGGUUCCAGAAACGAAGGAAUACGUCUUCAUACCCAAUUGAAUAAUUGAGUAAGCAGAUCAAUCCGUUGCAUGAACCAACAAUCUGAUGGAAGACCAUAUCCUUCGAUCCAUCGUUGGUAAGGUAGUGAGGAUCGUUAGUAAGGGUGAUCAGACGGUUGUCAAUUAAAUCCCGUACUGGGAAGGGUACAACCGUCUUAGUCUUGGUAGUGACUAGUGCGAGGUGGGGGUUUCGUGCAAAUCGCUGAAAGUGAAAUUUCACAAAUAUAGGACUUGUAAUAAGGGAGUUAGAAAACUUACUCAAGCAUCUCAUUCGCAUCACAGAUUUUACAGGAAGCAAUGAAAACACUCCAAAGAUGAGAUCGUUAGGGAUGAAUUUCGGCGAUGGUGACACAUUGGACCGACGCUGCGGCUGAGAUGGAUGGAGAUUCAUUGUCAAUUGUACGCUCUGCUGCUGUUGGAGAGUUGUGGUGUAUUGUGCCCGUUACCAGCAGUGUCACCUUUGUAACUCUAGCUACUGCAGCAUCAAAAGUAAUAGAUGGUUUACUUUUACAACUUGGAUAGAAGAUUACUCACACUCGUUAUUUAUACAUUUAUUUGAAAUUAAAAAAAAUAAAAAAAUGGUCAAUGUUUAUUAAAACAAAAAUUUGAUGGUCAAAAAAGAAAAAUUUGGUCAAGGGUAAAAAAAAAAAAAAAAAGGUAAACGAGUCUUUUUUUUUUUGAAGGAGUAAACGAGUCUUGAAUAGGUGGAAAAGAGAAUAAAAAAAAUCGGUCAAGGCUAAAAUUUGGUCAAGAGUAUUAAUGCAUAUCACAAUCAAUAAAUUAUUUAUGGUUUGAUUGAAUACAUUAACUACAAUUUUCAAAUGUAUAUAGACACACUUUCCCAAAAAAAAAAUGUGUAUUGGCAUAUUUAGAAUUUAUUGGUGAGGUCACCCGUGAGCCUAGUCCAAUUGGCACGAAUGUUGCAUAUUAUAUGUUGGGGUAGGGUUCGAUUCCCGAACACCCCAUUUAUUCAUUUUUAUGAGGUGAAUUUAUAACCACUUGUCUACAAAACCAAAAAAUUAAAUUAGAUCUAUCUCUUAGAGAAAAGUAGACGAAGGACACAAAUACAACUAUACAACAUUUUUUUUAAGGUACAACAUAUUCCCUUCGGUGAUAUUUAUAAGUAAAAAACUAUAUUGUAAGUUCAUUAUAUUGGAUAACUAAUGCAACACAAAAGCUUACACAUGUCGAUUCUAUAGUUUUUUGUCAUAAGAACUACAUAAUUAACAACACCUCUCUUAAAUGAGAUUGAAAUUUAAAACCGUCGUUUUAAUUAGAUUCACCAAUAAAAAAAUUUAAAGAAAAAUGUUUAUAGCAUUUCAUUGAUAUCAUGAUUCAAGUAAACCCUAUGAUGAUAUUCCUGUUUUCAGAAGAUUAGUGGGUAGAUUGCUUUAUCUUAAUACUACUCGACAUGAUAUCACUUUUAUCACUCACCAACUGAGCCAAUUUCUCUCUAACCUAGUGUAGCUCAUCAUAAUGCUGCAUUAAGACCCCUUAGAUACUUAAAGGGUUGUCCUGGUAAGGGUUUGUUCUUUCCUAGGAAUUCAUCUCUCACCCUUCAAGGAUUUUCUGAUGCUGAUUGGGCUGGCUGCUUGGAUACAAGAAGAUCAAUUACUGGACAAUGCUUCUUCUUAGGUCAUUCCCUCAUUUCUUGGAGGCAGAAUACAAAGCUUUGGCCUCAGCUACAUGUGAAAUUCAAUGGAUUCUCUACCUGCUCCAUGACCUUCACAUCACUUGUUCUAAGCUCCCUGUCCUUUAUUGUGAUAACUAGAGUGAUUUCCAUAUUGCUGCAAACCCAAUUUUUCAUGAAAGGAGCAAACAUUUGGAGAUUGACUGUCAUAUUAUUAGAGAGAAACUGUAACUGGUGUUAUGAAGUUGUUUCCAGUUUCUUCUCAAGACCAAAUAUCUUUGAUGUAUAUAUAUAUAACUCAUGUAACAAACAAUUCAUUCAAUAAAAAUUCACUUUCUAUUCAUUUCUCUCUUUCCAAUAUCUUUCGACCCAGUUAAUGGAGUUAAUCUCCUCAUUUCCUUCAAAUAAUUAGGGUACAUGAUUGUCGAUCAAAUUAGUGGAGUUGAUAUUUUGAUGGAAAUAAAAAUUAUGGAAUCUUCAAGAAAAACGUUUAACAAAUGGAGGCCUAAAUAAAAAACAUAAUUGAGGUACUUGGCGCUUUAAAAGAGAAAUUGAAAAACAAAAUAAACAACUAAAAUGAUGUGAGCCUCAUUAAAAACUCCAUUUGUGGAGAAAAGAGUGCUUCACUUAUUCCUAGAUUUAAACAAUGUUACAAAAGCAUGGCAAGAAAGGUUACAAAAUGCUCCAACAAGAAUGUACCAUAAAUAAUGUUGAUUUUCUCAAAUAGAGUUUAGAUCUGUAAUCCAAAAAGGAUCACAAUUAGGCAGGAGAGUGAAACAACAAAAACGAAAGAAAAAAAAUUCAAAACCUAUACGGGUACGUAAUACGACAACUUUUAAAAAGAAUGAAUGUACGGGUACGUUGAUAUAAA